UCCGUAGGCGGAUUAAUAAGUCAGAGGUGAAAUCCCACAGCUUAACUGUGGAACUGCCUUUGAUACUGUUAGUCUUGAGUUAUAUGGAAGUAGAUAGAAUGUGUAGUGUAGCGGUGAAAUGCAUAGAGAUUACACAGAAUACCGAUUGCGAAGGCAGUCUACUACGUAUAUACUGACGCUAAUGGACGAAAGCGUGGGGAGCGAACAGGAUUAGAUACCCUGGUAGUC
rnacentral:rRNA from 1 species